AGUUUGAAAUUUGCAGAUUUCAUUGUGGCGAAAGCACAUUGAAAAGUUAAACAAAAUGUCUUUUGGUCCAGUUAAGGAUGCUGAUCAAGAGCUUCAAAGGAUUGUCGAAUACGUACAUGCUGGGAAGAUUUCUUUCGAAUCGGCUUUGUGUCCUCCUCGUGCGCUCUGUUCCAUCAGUCGCAAUGAUCCAACAUCUAAUGUUACGAUAUAUGUUAUAAAGGUCCUGGUUUCUCAAGAUGGGAAGACCAACUGCACACAUCUUCGCGUUGAAUCUUCUGACGAUACUGAUCGGCUUGUGCGAAAGUUAGAGGAUAAGGCUGUCAUGGAUGCCAUCGAUCCAAAUCAGGUUUAGGAUUGGACUUGUUCUUUUAAAUCAUGGAGGAUAUUGUAUGUCCUUCUAAAGUUAGAGAAUCAAGGACAUUAUGUCUAUUUUAACGAAAUAAAACAAGUCACCUAAAGUU